rnacentral:tRNA from 1 species
GCUCCCGUAAUGUAGAGGUCAAGCAUGGCUGGCUUUCGACCAGGCAACGUGAGUUCGAAUCUCAUCGGGAGCG